rnacentral:ncRNA from 2 species
AUACAUAUUAAUAUUCCGAGCUUAUAUCUCUAAAACUUUUAACAAGAUAGUCAUGAGAUUUUAGCCGAUGGGUGUAUCAAGAGAAAUCUAUAUGCCUCCCACAGUUGGAAAGGAAAAAAUAAGGCAACCUU